rnacentral:rRNA from 1 species
AACGAACGCUGGCGGCAUGCCUAACACAUGCAAGUCGAACGAGACCUUCGGGUCUAGUGGCGCACGGCUGCGUAACGCGUGGGAACCUGCCCUUAGGUUCGGAAUAACUCCCCGAAAGGGGUGCUAAUACCGCAUAAUGUCUUCGGGCCAAAGAUUUAUUGCCUUUGGAUGGGCCCGCGUUGGAUUAGCUGGUUGGUAGGGUAAAAGCCUACCAAGGCGACGAUCCAUAGCUGGUCUGAGAGGAUGAUCAGCCACACUGGGACUGAGACACGGCCCAGACUCCUACGGGAGGCAGCAGUGGGGAAUAUUGGACAAUGGGCGAAAGCCUGAUCCAGCAAUGCCGCGUGAGUGAUGAAGGCCUUAGGGUUGUAAAGCUCUUUUACCCGGGAUGAUAAUGACAGUACCGGGAGAAUAAGCUCCGGCUAACUCCGUG